rnacentral:rRNA from 1 species
AUACGGAGGAUACAAGCGUUAUCCGGAUUUAUUGGGUUUAAAGGGUGCGCAGGCGGACCGCUAAGUCAGGGGUGAAAAGUUCGUGCUUAACAUGAAUCGUGCCUUUGAUACUGGCGGACUAGAGUGCGAUAGGCGUGGCCGGAAUGUGGUGUGUAGCGGUGAAAUGCUUAGAUAUGCCACAGAACACCGAUCGAGAAGUCAGGUCACGAGUUCGCAACUGACGCUCAUGCACGAAAGCGUGGGGAUCAAACAGGAUUAGAUACCCUGGUAGUCCACACUGUAAACGAUGAUAACUCGCUGUCGGCGAUACACAGUCGGUGGCCAAGCGAAAGCGAUAAGUUAUCCACCUGGGGAGUACGACCGCAAGGUUGAAACUCAAAGGAAUUGACGGGG